GACGAACGCUGGCGGCGUGCCUAAUACAUGCAAGUUGAGCGAUGAAGAUUGGUGCUUGCACCAAUUUGAAGAGCAGCGAACGGGUGAGUAACGCGUGGGGAAUCUGCCUUUUAGCGGGGGACAACAUUUGGAAACGAAUGCUAAUACCGCAUAACAACUUUAAACAUAAGGUUUAAGAGUGAAAGAUGCUAUUGCUCUACCCAACGACGAUCCCGCUUUGUAUUAGUUAGUUGGUGAGGUAAAGGCCCACAAAGGCGAUGGUACAUAGCCGACCUGAGAGGGUGAUGCGCCAAAACGGGAAGGGGACAAGGCCCAAACUGCCACGGGAAGGCGCCGUAGGGGAGUGUUGGCGAUGGAGGAAAGGCUUAACGAGGAACGGCGCGUGGGUGAAGAAGGUUCUUGGAUCGGAAAACCCAGGUGGUGGUGAAGAAGGUGGUUGAGAGUGGACAGCUCAUGAAGUGACGGUAACUAGCAAGAAAGAGACGGCUAACUACGUG
rnacentral:rRNA from 1 species